rnacentral:rRNA from 1 species
AGCGAACGCUGGCGGCAGGCCUAACACAUGCAAGUCGAACGAACCUUUCGGGGUUAGUGGCGGACGGGUGAGUAACACGUGGGAACGUGCCUUUAGGUUCGGAAUAACUCAGGGAAACUUGUGCUAAUACCGAAUGUGCCCUUCGGGGGAAAGAUUUAUCGCCUUUAGAGCGGCCCGCGUCUGAUUAGCUAGUUGGUUGAGGUAAUGGCUCACCAAGGCGACGAUCAGUAGCUGGUCUGAGAAGAUGAUCAGCCACAUUGGGACUGAGACACGGCCCAAACUCCUACGGGAAGCAGCAGUGGGGAAUCUUGCGCAAUGGGCGAAAGCCUGACGCAGCCAUGCCGCGUGAAUGAUGAAGGUCUUAGGAUUGUAAAAUUCUUUCACCGGGGACGAUAAUGACGGUACCCGGAGAAGAAGCCCCGGCUAACUUCGUG